GAUCUGGGGUGAUCUGCGCAAGCGGAUUGCCGAGCAGAUGGAGUAACUCGCACGGAAGUAAAGCCUGCUGGUCUGGAGGAAUCUGGGCUGGUGGGACGUCGAGCGAGAGUUUGAGGAUUUGAACUGAAGAGUUUGAUCCUGGCUCAGAUUAAACGCUGGCGGCAUGCCUUACACAUGCAAGUCGAACGGCAGCGACGGGGCAACCCUGGUGGCGAGUGGCGGACGGGUGAGUAAAGCAUCGGAACGUAUCCUGGAGGUGGGGAUAACGUAGCGAAAGUUACGCUAAUACCGCAUAUUCUGUGAGCAGGAAAGCAGGGGAUCGCAAGACCUUGCGCUCUGGGAGCGGCCGAUGUCGGAUUAGCUAGUUGGUGGGGUAAAAGGCCUACCAAGGCGACGAUCCGUAGCGGGUCUGAGAGGAUGAUCCGCCACACUGGGACUGAGACACGGCCCAGACUCCUACGGGAGGCAGCAGUG
rnacentral:rRNA from 1 species